rnacentral:lncRNA from 1 species
GAAGGUCAUGAUACUUCUGACUACCACAUGAGAUGCAUCAACGUCAUCUCUGGUCAUUGCAAAGAAUCUCGGUGUUCUACCCGCUUCUUGAAUACCUUGUGCACAUUAUAGCAGUUCCUUGUGGAUGUGUAGCAUCCUGACUAUUCCCAAAAUUACCAUUUGGAGCAAUAUGUCCUUUUUCACCACAUGUAAAACAAGCACCAGUAAUAACAAAACAAUGUCCAUAGUGGUUCCUACCACAUGCAUUGUAUCUCAGAUACUGUCCAAAUUGAAACUAACCAUUAUCCUUCACCUGUGUCUGUUGAUGACCUUGACUUAAUCAAAACGUACUCCCAGAAGACUGCACCACUAAAUCGGACUAUGUAGCCCCGGACUGCUCACGGUUAAAAACACUCUUGCCGCGAAACGGAGCUCCACUAAAUUAGCAUACGCUACAAUUCCUUUUUGCUUUCUUGCUUGGUCAUGUCCCUCUCUUGAUAAGACUCAUAACGGAGAGCAGUAUCCACUACCUCUUCGUACGAACCACCUC